CAGAGUAGGCGUCACGCGUCAAGUGCCGGCGGAUGGGAAGUCGCCGCCGGACGAAAAGCCGGAAACGAAGGAUCGGCUUGCGGUGUGGCGCCGCGUCCGCUGC
rnacentral:ncRNA from 1 species